CUUUCAUCCACACUCCUUUAGGCCUGGGCAUUUAAGUAUGCCUGAUCCAUUCCUAGUGGCCUGUGAAAAAACAUUGUUUCUGAAGCUAGAUUCCAUAUCCUGCUUUCUGCAUUCUUCAGGAUUACCUGGACUGAAUAUCUUCACCCUCUGCUGACCUGCGGAUUGGACACCCUGGACCCCUUUACUGCGCCCGCUUCACAGCUCUUCAUCUCCUCCGUGACCAUGUCAUUGCUAUCAGACGUCCUGGUGGUUUUGCACUUUAUUCUUCACGGCUCUUCUCUCCACGGAUGUUUGCCACAUUAAGGAAAUCCUAUUUUAUGUACUGCAUAUAGGCUUGUGUGGUGGUUACACAUGCCUUCUAACUUUGACAACAUCCUAUUUAAAAGAAACAAUUACCUGUAAGAAAUUAUGGCUUUGUCUUAGAGACAAGAAAACAAAUAAUCCAAAUAAA